rnacentral:lncRNA from 1 species
GUCACUCCGUUGAAUGAAGUGAGGUCAGACUCAUAUUUGUACAUAUAAAGUAGCCUUCGGUAUACGUUCAAGUUCAGUUAUUGUUGCAUUUAAUCUGCUCAGAAUAUAUUCUGCUAUUGUAUCGAAAAGAGCUCAUGAUCAAAUUCAUAAACAAACUGCAUAUCUGAUGAUUCUAUUCCCAAAAUGCAACCAAAGUCGUACACACUACAUUAACAAAAUGUUCUGCGGAAGCAACAUAAUCAUACAUCUCAAAACUUGUCACAGAUUUGAGACCAGCAAAAAUAAAUAGAAGAACAAAAGCAUAAAGAUAUAAAGAUUAAUGUUCGUAUCUAUCUACAUGUAUGUACUUCACAUCUUGCGCGAUGAUCAUUGUAUACCAAGAGCUUGAAUUCUCCUUACGAGGGACAAAGCAGAAGCAUUUGUUGUUCUCCAUUCUUCCGGUUUCUCCUUCUUUUGUCCAUUUUCCAUUAACCAUUGAUCAUGUCCAUCGAGAAUGUUCACUAUCUGCCUCAUGGUCGGUCUUGAUUCUGGAUCGGACCUUGUGCAAGCCAUUCCUAAUUUGACUAGCCUCACCAGUUCCCUGGAGUUAAAGUUUCCAUUCAACCUAAAAUCUGCCAGUUGUUCGUAUGGCCUUUUCUGCACCUCGAACUCGUGUACUCUAUUAACCAACAAAGCCUCAGGCCGGCNNNNN